rnacentral:rRNA from 1 species
AUGGGAUUCCGUGAUAUCCACCGUUUCAAUCUGGCUUUACUCGCUAAGCAGGCAUGGCGUCUACUUGAUAACCCUGACUCCUUGUGUGCCACUAUUCUAAGAGCAAAGUACUAUCCUGAUGGCGAUUUGCUGAAUUCCAAGCCAAAGCAUGGAGCUUCUUUCACCUGGCAAAGCAUUAUGGCGGGCAUUAGGACUCUGAAACGUGGCUAUAUUUGGCGAGUGGGAAAUGGACAAAAUAUCAAUAUCUGGGAAGAUGCCUGGAUCCCAAAUUGUGCCACCAGGAAAGUUGUGACCCCUAAGGGGGGACAAUUGUUAUCAAAAGUGGUUGACUUGAUUGACCCUGUCUCAAGUAAAUGGGAGGACCUGAUUAGACAAACUAUGUGGCCCAUUGAUGUACAACGUAUUCUUUCAAUCCCGCUUCCGCAACAUGAUAUGGCAGAUUUCAUUGCCUGCAGUAAUACAAAAAAUGGGUUGUUUUCGGUACAAUCUGCUUAUUAUGUGGAGUGGAAUUAUCAGUAUGGAAGCAAACUAACAUAUUCUAUCGGGAUGGGACGAACUACCCCUAACCCUAUAUGGUGUCAGAUAUGGAGGUUAGCUUGCCUGGCAAAAGUCAAAAAAUUUAUAUGGCGUACUUUACAUGGUACCCUCCCAUGUCGAGUAACACUUGCUAAUAGACACAUGAAGGUCUCGCCCAUAUGCCCUACUUGCUCUCAGGGUCUAGAAGACACGAAACACAUGUUGUUCCUAUGUAGUAAAUGUUGGGGAAUGUAG